rnacentral:rRNA from 1 species
CGCCCGUCGCUCCUACCGACUGGGUGUGCUGGUGAAGUGUUCGGAUUGGCGACCGGGGGCGGUUUCCGCCCUCGGCCGCCGAGAAGUUCAUUAAACCCUCCCACCUAGAGGAAGGAGAAGUCGUAACAAGGUUUCC